GAGUGGCGAACUGGUGAGUAACACGUGGGAAACCUGCCCAGAAGCGGGGGAUAACACCUGGAAACAGAUGCUAAUACCGCAUAACAACUUGGACCGCAUGGUCCGAGUUUGAAAGAUGGCUUCGGCUAUCACUUUUGGAUGGUCCCGCGGCGUAUUAGCUAGAUGGUGNGGUAACGGCUCACCAUGGCAAUGAUACGUAGCCGACCUGAGAGGGUAAUCGGCCACAUUGGGACUGAGACACGGCCCAAACUCCUACGGGAGGCAGCAGUAGGGAAUCUUCCACAAUGGACGAAAGUCUGAUGGAGCAACGCCGCGUGAGUGAAGAAGGGUUUCGGCUCGUAAAACUCUGUUGUUAAAGAAGAACAUAUCUGAGAGUAACUGUUCAGGUAUUGACGGUAUUUAACCAGAAAGCCACGGCUAACUACGUGCCAGCAGCCGCGGUAAUACGUAGGUGGCAAGCGUUGUCCGGAUUUAUUGGGCGUAAAGCGAGCGCAGGCGGUUUUUUAAGUCUGAUGUGAAAGCCUUCGGCUCAACCGAAGAAGUGCAUCGGAAACUGGGAAACUUGAGUGCAGAAGAGGACAGUGGAACUCCAUGUGUAGCGGUGAAAUGCGUAGAUAUAUGGAAGAACACCAGUGGCGAAGGCGGCUGUCUGGUCUGUAACUGACGCUGAGGCUCGAAAGUAUGGGUAGCAAACAGGAUUAGAUACCCUGGUAGUCCAUACCGUAAACGAUGAAUGCUAAGUGUUGGAGGGUUUCCGCCCUUCAGUGCUGCAGCUAACGCAUUAAGCAUUCCGCCUGGGGAGUACGGCCGCAAGGCUGAAACUCAAAGGAAUUGACGGGGGCCCGCACAAGCGGUGGAGCAUGUGGUUUAAUUCGAAGCUACGCGAAGAACCUUACCAGGUCUUGACAUACUAUGCAAAUCUAAGAGAUUAGACGUUCCCUUCGGGGACAUGGAUACAGGUGGUGCAUGGUUGUCGUCAGCUCGUGUCGUGAGAUGUUGGGUUAAGUCCCGCAACGAGCGCAACCCUUAUUAUCAGUUGCCAGCAUUAAGUUGGGCACUCUGGUGAGACUGCCGGUGACAAACCGGAGGAAGGUGGGGAUGACGUCAAAUCAUCAUGCCCCUUAUGACCUGGGCUACACACGUGCUACAAUGGAUGGUACAACGAGUUGCGAACUCGCGAGAGUAAGCUAAUCUCUUAAAGCCAUUCUCAGUUCGGAUUGUAGGCUGCAACUCGCCUACAUGAAGUCGGAAUCGCUAGUAAUCGCGGAUCAGCAUGCCGCGGUGAAUACGUUCCCGGGCCUUGUACACACCGCCCGUCACACCAUGAGAGUUUGUAACACCCAAAGUCGGUGGGGUAACCUUUUAGGAACCAGCCGCCUAA
rnacentral:rRNA from 1 species